ensembl:lncRNA
AUGGGGUGUCCUGGGGGGUCCCAGAGUGGCUGUGGGGUCCCUAUGGGGCACCUUGAGGGGUCUUGGAGUCCCUGUGGGGCAGCCUGGGGUGUCCUGGGGGGUCCUGGGGUGUCCCAGAGUGGCUGUGGGGUCACUAUGGGGCACCUUGAGGGGUCUUGGGGUCCCUGUGGGGCAGCCUGGGGUGUCCUGGGGUGUCCAUGGUGUCCUGGGGUGUCCAUGGGGUGUCCAUGGGGGGUCCUGGAGUGGCUGUGGGGUCCCUGUGGGGCAGCCUGGGGUGUCCUGGGGUGUCCAUGGUGUCCUGGGGUGUCCAUGGGGUGUCCAUGGGGGGUCCUGGAGUGGCUGUGGGGUCCCUGUGGGGCAGCCUGGGGGGUCCUGGAGUGGCUGUGUGGUCACUCUGGGGCGCCGUGGGGUGUCCAUGGGGUGUCCAUGGUGUCCUGGGGUGUCCAUGGGUGUCCUGGAGUGGCUGUGUGGUCACUCUGGGGCACCGUGAGGUGUCCAGGGUGGUCCAGGAGUGGCUGUGGGGUCCCUACGGGGCACCUUGAGGGGUCUUGGAGUCCCUGUGGGGCAGCCUGGGGUGUCCUGGGGGGUCCUGGGGUGUCCUGGAGUGUCCUGGGGUGUCCAUGGGGUGUUGUGGGGGGUCCUGGAGUGGCUCCAAAAAAAGCAGGAAAAGAGCCCAAAAUAAGGAGGAGAGCCCAAAAAUCCCCAAAGCAUGUCCAUGGGGUGUCCAUGGGGUGUCCUGGGGAGUCCUGGGGUGGCUGUGGGGUCCCUAUGGGGCACCUUGAGGGGUCUUGGAGUCCCUAUGGGGCAGCCUGGGCUGUCCUGGAGUGGCUGUGGGGUCCCUAUGGGGCACCGUGGGGUGGCCUUAGGGUGUCCUGGGGGAUCCAGGAGUGGCUCCGAAAAAGCAGGAAAAGAACCCAAAAUAAGGAGGAGAGCCCAAAAAUCCCCAGAAGAUGUCCAUGGGGUGUCCAUGGGGUGUCCAUGGGGUGUCCUGGGGUGUCCUGGGGUAUCCAUGGGGUCCUGGGGUCUCUGUGGGGUCCCUGUGGGGUCUCUGUGGGGUCUCUGUGGGGUCUCUGUGGGGUCCCUGUGGGGUCUCUUUGGGGUCCCUUUGGGGUCUCUUUGGGGUCCCUGUGGGGUCUCUGUGGGGUCUCUGUGGGGUCUCUGUGGGGUCUCUGUGGGGUCCCUGUGGGGUCCCUGUGGGGUCUCUUUGGGGUCCCUUUGGGGUCCCUUUGGGGUCUCUUUGGGGUCCCUGUGGGGUCUCUGUGGGGUCUCUGUGGGGUCCCUGUGGGGUCCCUUUGGGGUCCCUGUGGGGUCUCUGUGGGGUCUCUUUGGGGUCCCUGUGGGGUCCCUUUGGGGUCCCUGUGGGGUCUCUUUGGGGUCUCUGUGGGGUCUCUGUGGGGUCUCUUUGGGGUCUCUGUGGGGUCUCUGUGGGGUCCCUUUGGGGUCCCUGUGGGGUCUCUGUGGGGUCUCUUUGGGGUCCCUGUGGGGUCCCUUUGGGGUCCCUGUGGGGUCUCUAUGGGACUCAGUGGGGUCUCUAUGGGGUCUCUAUGGGGUCUCUGUGGGGUCUCUGUGGGGUCCCUUUGGGGUCCCUGUGGGGUCUCUUUGGGGUCUCUUUGGGGUCCCUGUGGGGUCUCUGUGGGGUCUCUUUGGGGUCUCUGUGGGGUCCCUGUGGGGUCUCUUUGGGGUCCCUUUGGGGUCCCUUUGGGGUCUCUUUGGGGUCCCUGUGGGGUCUCUGUGGGGUCUCUGUGGGGUCCCUGUGGGGUCCCUUUGGGGUCCCUGUGGGGUCUCUUUGGGGUCUCUUUGGGGUCUCUGUGGGGUCCCUGUGGGGUCUCUGUGGGGUCCCUUUGGGGUCCCUUUGGGGUCCUGGGGUCCCUGUGGGGUCCCUUUGGGGUCCCUGUGGGGUCCCUGUGGGGUCUCUGUGGGGUCCCUGUGGGGUCCUGGGGUCCCUGUGGGGUCCCUGUGGGGUCUCUGUGGGGUCUCUUUGGGGUCCCUGUGGGGUCUCUUUGGGGUCCCUGUGGGGUCUCUGUGGGGUCCCUUUGGGGUCCCUUUGGGGUCCUGGGGUCCCUGUGGGGUCCCUUUGGGGUCCCUGUGGGGUCCCUGUGGGGUCUCUGUGGGGUCCCUGUGGGGUCCUGGGGUCCCUGUGGGGUCCCUGUGGGGUCUCUGUGGGGUCUCUUUGGGGUCCCUGUGGGGUCUCUUUGGGGUCCCUGUGGGGUCUCUGUGGGGUCCCUUUGGGGUCCCUUUGGGGUCCCUGUGGGGUCCUGGGGUCCCUGUGGGGUCCCUGUGGGGUCUCUGUGGGGUCUCUUUGGGGUCCCUGUGGGGUCUCUUUGGGGUCCCUGUGGGGUCUCUGUGGGGUCCCUUUGGGGUCCCUUUGGGGUCCCUGUGGGGUCCUGGGGUCCCUGUGGGGUCCCUGUGGGGUCUCUGUGGGGUCUCUUUGGGGUCCCUGUGGGGUCUCUGUGGGGUCCCUUUGGGGUCCCUUUGGGGUCCCUGUGGGGUCCUGGGGUCCCUGUGGGGUCCCUGUGGGGUCUCUGUGGGGUCUCUUUGGGGUCCCUGUGGGGUCUCUUUGGGGUCCCUGUGGGGUCUCUGUGGGGUCCCUUUGGGGUCCCUUUGGGGUCCCUGUGGGGUCCUGGGGUCCCUGUGGGGUCCCUGUGGGGUCUCUGUGGGGUCUCUUUGGGGUCCCUGUGGGGUCUCUGUGGGGUCUCUGUGGGGUCUCUUUGGGGUCCCUGUGGGGUCCCUGUGGGGUCUCUGUGGGGUCCUGGGGUCCCUGUGGGGUCCCUGUGGGGUCUCUGUGGGGUCCCUGUGGGGUCCCUGUGGGGUCUCUGUGGGGUCCCUGUGGGGUCCUUUUGGGGUCCCUGUGGGGUCUCUGUGGGGUCUCUGUGGGGUCCCUUUGGGGUCCCUUUGGGGUCCCCCCUCCCCUCCCCGCCCCUCCCCCAUUAA